rnacentral:tRNA from 1 species
CACUAUGAAGCUUAAUGCGUUAACCUUUUAAGUUAAAGUCUGAAAAUUAGUAGAUUUUCCAUAGUGG